AUUGAACGCUGGCGGCAGGCCUAACACAUGCAAGUCGAGCGGAUGAAGAGAGCUUGCUCUCUGAUUCAGCGGCGGACGGGUGAGUAAUGCCUAGGAAUCUGCCUGGUAGUGGGGGGCAACGUUUCGAAAGGAACGCUAAUACCGCAUACGUCCUACGGGAGAAAGCAGGGGACCUUCGGGCCUUGCGCUAUCAGAUGAGCCUAGGUCGGAUUAGCUAGUUGGUGAGGUAAUGGCUCACCAAGGCGACGAUCCGUAACGGGUCUGAGAGGAUGAUCAGUCACACUGGAACUGAGACACAGUCCAGACUCCUACGGGAGGCAGCAGUGGGGAAUAUUGGACAAUGGGCGAAAGCCUGAUCCAGCCAUGCCGCGUGUGUGAAGAAGGUCUUCGGAUUGUAAAGCACUUUAAGUUGGGAGGAAGGGCAGUAAGUCAAUACCUUGCUGUUUUGACGUUACCGACAGAAUAAGCACCGGCUAACUCUGUGCCAGCCGCCGCCGUAAGAC
rnacentral:rRNA from 1 species